CGCCGGGUUAGCAGGCUUCGAUUCCCCUCCUUUUCAGGGAGGGGCUAGGGGAGGGUGUUAAGCCUCCCGCGAUGU
rnacentral:tRNA from 1 species